rnacentral:rRNA from 1 species
UGACCUCAUUGGGGUAGGACAACCCGCUAGAC